AUUGAACGCUGGCGGCAGGCCUAACACAUGCAAGUCGAACGGUAACAGGAAGAUUCUUCCUUCUUUGCUGACCAGUCGCGGGCGUGAUAGCUAUGUCUGUGCCACUGCCUGAUGGAGGGGGUUAACUACUGGAAACUGUUGCCACUACCGCCUAGCGUCGCAAGACCAGAGAGGGUGAGCUCCGGCCCUCUUGCCAUCGGCUAUGUCCAGGUGGGAUUAGCUAGUGGGUGGGGUAAAGGCUCACCUAGGCGACGAUCCCUAGCUGGUCUGAGGGGAUGACCAGCCACACUGGAACUGAGACACGGUCCAGACUCCUACGGGAGGCAGCAGUGGGGAAUAUUGGACAAUGGGCGAAAGCCUGAUGCAGCCAUGCCGCGUGUGUGAAGAAGGUCUUCGGAUUGUAAAGUACUUUCAGCGGGGAGGAAGGGAAGAAAGUUAAUACCUUGCUGUAUUGACGUUACCCACAGAAGAAGCACCGGCUAACUCCGUG
rnacentral:rRNA from 1 species